GAGGCGCAUGCAGAUUGUGGUGACGCCAGAUUACACCUCGGUCACCAACAGCCGGGAGCGCUUCGUGGUGAUGGCAAUGAGCGCCAUGCUCCUGCUCAUCAGCUGCACGCUUUUCGCCGUCCUCUUCACGCUGCUCUCAGACGACAGAACGUCGGCUAAGUCCCAGGAGGAGAUUAAUGCUGUGUGCCUGGCCUUUAUUUUUACCGGACGCUGAUUAUUUGUGAGAUGAGAAAAGAACGUGCACUAUGACCAUUAAAGAAAGCAAG